rnacentral:lncRNA from 1 species
GAAGUAGAUAGUUGUAGAGACAUGACUGGAGGACCAAAGGGAAUGACUAGUGGUGAUAGACUUGGGGAAUUUAGCAAGGCCUGUUCAGAAGCUUCUUGGCAUCUCUAUUGUUGUGAAGAAGAGUUUUCCUUUUUUUUUUUGCGUAUGGUGGGGAUACUCUGGGAUAAGGAUGUUAUAAACUACUUCAGAGAGGAAAAGAUUCUUUCCUGGCCUGCUGCAGGAGAAGAGUCCCCAAAGGUUCAUGUGUUACGUGGCUUGGUCCUCAUCUUGGCAUUAUUGAGAGGUGAUGAAAACUUUUUUUUUUUUUAACUGGGGACUGAACCCAGGGGUGCUUUCCCACUGACCUACAUCUGCAGCUCUUUUUUUUUGUUGUUGUUUCUUUUAAGUUUUGAGACAGGGUCUCACUAAGUUUUUUAGGGCCUCGCUGAGUUGCUGAGGCUGGCCUCUAACUUGCCAUCCUCCUGCCUCAGCUUCUUGAGCCACAGGGAAUACAGUCCAGUGUCACCGUGCCUGGCAGUGGGUCUCAUUGAGAGGUCUUUGGGUCACUGGGGAAUGUGUUCUUGAAGGAUAUUGUGGGACCCAGAUCUUUCCCUCGCUCUCAUUCUCUUCCUGGGCAUCAGGGGAGUGGCUUUGCUGUCCAUGUGCUGCUCUGAUGAUGUGCUGCCUUGCCACAGAUCCUAAAGCGACAGGCCAACCAGCUAUGGACUGAAACCUCCACAAUUGACCCCAAAUAACCCUUUCUAUCCACAAAUUGCUCUUCUCAGGUAUUUCUUAUGGUGUACUAGAAAGGUGACCACUGCAUAAAUCAGGAGAGAAGUUACGCUCUGUAAGAGUUGAAGUGGAGUGGAGGUUCCAGAACUUUAUUUAUUCAUUUUAAUUUAAUUAACUCACCCCUUGCAGGGGUCUAGUCUUCCUAAAAUAUAUGCCAUGUCUGUGGAGAGUCCUUUGCGGCUCUUAUGAAUUAGCCUUUGCUGGAUUUGUGUGCAAUCAAGAAUGUUGGAACUGAAGGCACAACACAGAGCCCUGUUCUGCCAAGUCCUGUGCAGAAUCCUCCAGGUCCUUGCCAAACGGUAUUCCUUGCAGCACAGGCUUAGUAUGUUUGGGUGGCAAUGUAAUUAGAGCCCCAAAGAAUUCUUAUUAUUUGUUAGAAGAGUUAUUUCAAAAUUGCCAGUGAGAAGCACUUGGUAUUUAAAAUUGAAAAAAAUAAAAUUGUACAGAGCAAACACUUCUCUUCAAGCUGCUUUUUCCAAUAUUCAUGAGGCUAAGAACAAUGUCCAUCCUGUAAAGGGAAAUAUUAACCUCAUGGAGUGAGC